rnacentral:snRNA from 1 species
GGAUGUGAGGGCAAUCUGGCUGCGACAUCUGUCACCCCAUUGAUCGCCAGGGUUGAUUCGGCUGAUCUGGCUGGCUAGGCGGGUGUCCCCUUCCUCCCUCACCGCUCCAUGUGCGUCCCUCCCGAAGCUGCGCGCUCGGUCGAAGAGGACGACCAUCCCCGAUAGAGGAGGACCGUUCUUCGGUCAAGGGUAUACGAGUAGCUGCGCUCCCCUGCUAGAACCUCCAAACAAGCUCUCAAAACAUGUUUAUGUUAAGCAAAUGCAUAAAUUUGGUAUAUAGUAACCACUCAAGCAAAUAGUAAUAUUCAUUCAAUAGAUUACAAAGUUG